CCAGCCCAUCAAGGCACGCAACCACCACUGACCCCGCCCUUUUGCCUCGGGGAAUGGCGGCUGGCUUGCUCGCCCCUACCAAUGAAUCGUGAUUCAUCCUGUGAAGUACAUUAGUCAUUGGAACAGAGUGAUUUUUCCCCGAGAAAAUUCGGUGUCCGAAGCAAGCAAAUGGGUGUUUUUGCAGCAAUGGGGGUUCUUCCUCCAUUUCCGUACUACUACUGGCUAUGGACAAAUCCCCAGUCAUGGGUGAACCUUUGUGGGAAAGGGCGUGACCCAUGUAAAGUUAUGGCCUGUGUCUCCCAUUUCUUAAAGCUGAUUCAGUUCAUUUCUCUCUAUUCAGUCUCUUCCUUCUUCUUGCCUCCUCCUCUCUACUUCUGGCCCCUCUUUGGCUUUGGCCAGUUUCUCAACUUCAGGGUAUACCAAUUGCUUGGUGAAUCAGGUACUUACUAUGGUGUACGCUUUGGAAAGAAUAUUCCAUGGGUGACAGAAUUUCCAUUUGGUGUUAUAAAAGAUCCUCAAUAUGUUGGAAGCAUUUUGAGCCUUCUUGCAUGUCUAUCUUGGGUCCCCUUCCAAUACAUUCUUUUGUGGUCUCUGGGGUGUGUAUUUAUGAUUCAUGUGGAAUCUAAAGAGGAUCCGGCUACUCGAGCAAAGCUACUUUCUUGAUUACAAGAAUUGCAGUUCACUAACCAAUGAUCUUGAAGACUUUGAUGGGGAUCAUAAUAUGAAGUGAUUUUUUCGCAGUUAUUUUCAAUUGCAGCAAUAUGCACAUGUAUCCAUUAAGCAGUCGAUAACAUUUAAACGAUCAACAAGAUAUGACCCUGACUUUUGGAGUGUGCAUUACGUUGUAAUGUACUAUUAAACUUUUGGCAAUUGUUAUUUGUAUUAAUGGUCUGUUUGGCUCAACUGUGAAGAGUAUUUGGCAAUUAUUGCUGAUGGAAGGUCAUUGAUAACCUAUGAAUGUUAGGUAGUCAAUAAAAAUAAGCUGUUUUUUUGUUAUAUAUCAUAUGACAAUUUAGGAUAACUUUAUUUUUUAAAUAUAUUGACAAUACAUCUUAUUUAAUGUUCUCUCUAUUGUGAUGGUGGAAAUUUAGUUAAGAAAACUUCAAUUUGAAUGUUUGUAAUAAAUAAAGAUGUUACCAUAAAUAGGAUAUCAUACUGCUGUAGUUUUUUUAUGGUAUAGUUACUUCUCAUAUUCCAAUACUUAUAUCUCAUUGUUGAGAAUUGUAAAUAAUUCUGUCACAUGAUAAAUUUACUUGGUAAAGGGUGAUUUUGUUAGUAAUGAAUUUCAAUAGGGGAAACCUAGCCCAAAAUUAGAAUGAAGUCAAGACAGCAAUCUACUAGGGAGCUUUUUAGAUCAACAGCCGUUAGGGCCUGUCUCUUCAAAUAACUCAAUGAACGCUUUUGGUUCAGCUGUUGGGACCAAAAAGCUAAUAGCUGCAUUAGACAGAAUAAACCAAACACCUCCUAAGAUUUCUAGCACAUAUCAGUUAUAAGAUGUUUGAGCUUUUGAUGACAAGUUUUUCUGUUAAGCCAAUUGCAUGAAACCUAAAAGGGAUAGAAUUCAUUUGUACAUAUUUCAAGCUUGGACAAAGUGAACACAAAUGCUUUAAAUUCCAAUUCCCUGAUCUAAAACUUUUAUUUGAAUUGAAUCAACACUGCCUAUAUCAUAAAUUGCAAUUGUUUCAUGAAUUUGUGGUUGCUUGAUUGUCACAAACAGCAAUAAUCAUUUGCCUUAUUGUUUGAAAUCUAUUUGCAAGUUGACACUAUCAAAUUUAUCUGUCAAUGUGAUUUUUCAACACUAUGCCUUCCAUGUACAAAUAGAAGUUAAAGAUUGGAAAAGAAGGAGAAGAUGGGGAAAAAGAAAAUGAAAUUAAAAAACAAAAGAAAAAGGAAAAUUGAGUCUCUUUUUCUUCUAUGCCAGAACCAGGGACAAGUCUAAAAUUUGCAUUGCCUGUUUUAUAUCUUCAAAAUCGAUGUCUUUCAGUUUGCCAGUCUUAGAUGAGACAAUCGUGCAUUUCUUUUCUGCUGCAUUUGGAACAAAUAGUUUACCUUUCUCUUCAGAUGAAAACAGUGCAAUGCUGCAAAAAUGUCAUCCAAAAUACUAAUUAGAGUUGCCUCUUCGCAUUAUGUAAUACUCUUUGAUCAUAUUCUGAAAAUUAUUGACAUGACACAUACCUAUACUAUGCUGCACAUGCAUAAAUUUUAGUUUAAAACACUCAGAUACUGAUCAACAGUAGCUUUGUGUCUACAAACUUAAAUCAGGAGGUUAUGCAAUCAAUCAGAUUACAUGAGUUAUAUUUAGCAGAGAACUUACCUAGGUUUCUCACGUGCAUUUGCAAAUUGGAUGGCUGCUGUGUUUGUAGCUAUUACCCCAGCUGAGUCAUUGAUGAGAGCUGCCAGCUGAAGCAAAAACGAUUUAUAUUUAAUGUUCCCCAAAAGUUAUCUUACUAUUGAUUAAACCUUGUGCAAGCGUUUUUGUUGGAAGUUAUACUAUCUCGUGGCAGAAGUCAUUCUAUAUAUUCAUGUGAUAGAUGAGCAUUCAAAUGUGCAAUGGCUAUUUCUUUAAAUUUAAUGGAAUUUAUAGAAUGAUGCAACGUAAUGCAUAUUCUAGAUCACACAUGGUGUUUCAGCUUCAUGCUCCAAGAUAUUUUGUACCAUACAAGCAAGGUCUGUGCAGAAGGUGAAGGAAAAAAUCAAUAAUUGUUCAGUCUCCUAGAACUAGUUGUAAAAAAAGAAAAUAUGCUUUGCAUUUUUUUGUGCUCCAGAUUGAGCAUAUUUUCCUGCAACUUCUCUCUUUCUCUCAAGGCAGCAUUUUGAUUAUCAGAAAAUGAGUGGAAGAAGACACAUACCUGUCCAGGAGUUGUGAUGAAGACAAUACUGGUAUCAUCACCAACUAUUUCCUCUACAUUUUCCCUUUCCUUCUCAUGUGGAAUGACGAAAACUGGCUUAAAAUCCCUGUUUUCCAUGUAAUCAUCAAGUUUUGCAUCAAUGUCUUAAAACCGUGACAAAGGUAGAAAAAUUGAUAAAAUAAUGUACCUCAUAGCGUCUGCUAUUUCAGCCCAUACUUGGAGAGGCAGCAGGCUAUCAGUAUCACCCCUAGACUGCAUUGUGGCCUUUGAAUCUGAUUCAAUCCCAUGAAUUACAAUAUAUUUUCCUUUCUCUGCACCCACAGCUCUAUAUUUUGCUUCUACAAACUCUUUCAGCUUCCUUGAAAUGGAGACUCUUAACGGAGGCACUGGCUGCCUCGGCACACUUCGAAAGGGUCUUCCCAACCAAUCAAUCAUCUGAUGAUACCUAAACCAAGAAAUGCCCUGAUGAAAACUUCCAAGAUUGACUAGACACCAGUUUCCAGAAAGUUUUGCAAUGUCUCAUUUACCAGGUACUAAGUUCUACAAAUAACAGUACUGUGACAAGAACUCACAUGUGAUAUCCACCUUCUGAAAGAUUCGUACUAUCUGGUGUAAAUGUUUCUGAUAGUAGUAGUCCUGCUCCUGCUGCAUUUACAUUUGGGUAAAUGUAGCUGACUGUAUCUCUAGCAGAUGCCAUAAACAAGAAUGCUGCAUGGCCAAGCCCUGCCAGUUUUGUUGAUAAGACCAUGUCAUAGUACCUAUUCUGCAAACAGAAGAGGAUACAUCUUUACAAGCUAACUGCAAUUGGUAAUUUCUGCAAAUUAUAAGUGUGCAAAUAGGAAACACAUCCUAGUUGUGAUUUGUGAUUCAGUCCUGUAGGAUUAUGGCUUCCUGUGCCCGUAUGAAUUGCUGAAGAGGAUAUCUGACAAUUCAGUUCAACCUGGACUUAAAUAAUUUUUAGAUUCAUUUUCCACUUGGCUCAAAAUUAUUAAUCUAUGUUAUUUAGUAGUUUCAUGCUAGCUAUCGUAUGGAAUUCUAUUUUUCCAUCAUUUGUUGAGAACAUUUAUGAGUUCAAAAGCAGACCCAUCUAACUGGAAAGAAAAAAUGAUACUUGUUAUUUUCUGCUAUGGACCAUGGAGUAGUUCUAGAGUAUGUAUAAAGAAAGAAAGAAUUUCUUCAAUGGGAAACACUUGGAGUUGGAAAGGUAACAGUGAAUGGUGUAAUAAUUACAGAUGCAAUUAUUAAUAUACUAAUUAUGUUUAGUAUUAUCCAUGAAAAAGGAGUAAUAAUUAAGCUUGUAUAGUUGGAUAUGUUUGUUAUGCCUAUGUAAAUGAAAGAUAUAAAUUAAAUUUAUAAUGUCCAUUGAAGUAUUUAUUAGAAUUAUUAUUAUUAUUCUUAUUAUUAUUCUUAAUAGUUACAAGAGCAAUUUUUCGUUUCAAGGAAAUUCAUGUUAUAAGCCCACUCCUACUCUAGCCAAAAAACUGAUAAAAUCACUUUUUUUUUUUUUAAUAUUCCAAUUGUUUGUGUUAAAGAAGCCGGGAAUACUAUACCAACUAACCUUAAGAACUCCAAGCAUGUCAGUAUACUCAGCUGGCUCAGGGAAAUCAUCAUCAGGAUCAUAAACAGUAGCCCAUCUCACAUUCUUGUUCAACUCAUAAGUUUGUUUCCCUCUUGCUGAUGCCACUAUAUCUAUUUGUACACCAGGGUACCUUCAAUAAACACAACACUAUUCAAAUCUCACCAUCACCAAAUUACAUAAAUUUACACAACCUAUUUCUGUAAUGUUACCUAUCCUUGAUCAACUGAAUUGCAGGAAAGAAGAGCAAGUUCUCAUAAACACCACCAGAAAUCACACAGCAGCAUCUCCUAACAUCACCUCUAAUCUUCAAUGGCAAAGAAGCAAUCUCCACAUUGUAACCCAUUGGGAACUUGAGGAACCCAUAUGGGUUAUCGGGGUUAUCAGGUGGCCUGGGAUCUUCCUCUUGCUUGCCGUCUGCAAACAGUGAGCCAUAUUCCAUGUCAGGGUCCUCUCCGUCGUCAAAAAGGUCUAGCCAUGGGUUCUUUUUCUUUGCGUAGGUGAGAGUGGUUGGUUUUCUAGUGCAUGGAGUGAAGAAUGAUGGCUUGGUGAAGUGAGCCGAGGGAAGUGAAGAAGGUGGGUUUGUGAGAAAAGGGGAGAUGGUUUUGGGUAGCAGAGAAGUUGAAGCCAUGAAUUUUCGUUGAUUUCAGCUCUGCUAUUACGGGAGUUAUUAAGGUUUGGGAUUUCAUUUCAAUGGGUGGAAGCUGGUUGGAUAAGUGGGUCCCCUGCUCCAUACUUUUUUUUUUUUUAUUCUUUUUGGCUUUUUAGUUUUAGUUUUUUCCCAUUUAUUUGUUAUAAAAAAAAGAAAAAGAAAUUGCUUAGAUAUUGACUUCUUGGCAGGGAUAAAUGGUGAAAUUAUUAUUAUUAUUUUUCUUCUUUUGGAAAA